ensembl:snoRNA SNORD16 Small nucleolar RNA SNORD16
UGCCGUGAUGGUGUAAUUUGCGUCUGAUCCUGUGAACAGUGACAGUUGCCUGCUGUCUCUAAGCUGGCACAGAGUCUUGAUGUGUGUUAAAUUCUGAGCA